GAUGAACGCUAGCGGCAGGCCUAACACAUGCAAGUCGAGGGGUAGAGUUCUUCGGGACUUGAGACCGGCGCACGGGUGCGUAACGCGUAUGCAAUCUACCUUAUACAGGGGAAUAGCCCCAGAGAAAUUUGGAUUAAUGCCCCAUAGUGUUAUCGAAUCGCAUGGUUUGAUAACUAAAGUUCCAACGGUAUAAGAUGAGCAUGCGUCCCAUUAGUUAGUUGGUAAGGUAACGGCUUACCAAGACAAUGAUGGGUAGGGGUCCGUGAGAGGGAGAUCCCCCACACUGGUACUGAGACACGGACCAGACUCCGUAC
rnacentral:rRNA from 1 species